rnacentral:rRNA from 1 species
UACGAAGGGGGCUAGCGUUGCUCGGAAUUACUGGGCGUAAAGCGCACGUAGGCGGCUUUCUAAGUCGGGGGUGAAAUCCUGGAGCUUAACUCCAGAACUGCCUUCGAUACUGGAGAGCUCGAGUCCGGGAGAGGUGAGUGGAACUGCGAGUGUAGAGGUGAAAUUCGUAGAUAUUCGCAAGAACACCAGUGGCGAAGGCGGCUCACUGGCCCGGUACUGACGCUGAGGCACGAAAGCGUGGGGAGCAAACAGG